UGUAUUGUUAGAUGGGCCUUCCGCAUUCUUAAAGGCAGCCCGGAGAUGGGACUUGAUGCAUUUUCUGCAAAAGGCCCCAUUCUCAGAUGUCACCAUCUCAACCCUGAAGGACACCCCACUUUUAAUCUGCUCCUGAGAUCUGUUUUCUCUAGGCUUCAAGCUGUGAAUUUUUAACUGCCCUCCUGACUGGGACUGAUUGGGACACAGGACACAAUCAGAUGCUCUGGUGCUGUUUUUGGGACCUCACACCUCCCCUCCUGGCACGAACCCCAAAUGAACUAAGGAUAUCUCUACGACCCUUGCCAGCUCGAAGCAGCUCAUGGGAAGUCACAUCAUUUCCUGCGACUUCCUGUAUCUCCAGAUUCAAAGUUCAUCCCUCCAGAGAUCAAAUGACCUCCUCAAGGUCCCACUUCUGGCAACAAGGAUCAUGUGACUCAAUACUGAGAAAUACUUCAAUCACUCCCAUUCAUAAAUUUUUUUAUUUUUUCUUCACUCCUCUCCCAUCCUAGAGAUGGCUACCAUUAGACACACACAUAUAUGUAUAUGUGCGUGUGUAUGUAAAAUCAUUAUAUUUAUUUGUCAAUUCUUUCUCUGGAUGUAGACGGCAUCUUCUUUCAUAUGUCCUUUAUAGUUAAUUUGAAUACAAAAAUGAUUUAUUUGCUGUUGUCCUUUCAAACUUUUGCUGUAUUCCCUUUUAAAUAAAAGAAAAUUGAGAAACAUCUAAA